rnacentral:rRNA from 1 species
UGAGGAAUAUUGGACAAUGGGCGCAAGCCUGAUCCAGCCAUGCCGCGUGCAGGAUGGCGGUCCUAUGGAUUGUAAACUGCUUUUGUACAGGAAGAAACAGUUCUACGUGUAGAACCUUGACGGUACUGUAAGAAUAAGGAUCGGCUAACUCCGUGCCAGCAGCCGCGGUAAUACGGAGGAUCCAAGCGUUAUCCGGAAUCAUUGGGUUUAAAGGGUCCGUAGGCGGUUAGAUAAGUCAGUGGUGAAAGCCCAUCGCUCAACGGUGGAGCGGCCAUUGAUACUGUCUGACUUGAAUUAUUAGGAAGUAACUAGAAUAUGUAGUGUAGCGGUGAAAUGCUUAGAGAUUACAUGGAAUACCAAUUUGCGAAGGCAGGUUACUACUAAUGGAUUGACGCUGAUGGACGAAAGCGUGGGUAGCGAACAGGAUUAGAUACCCAAGUAGUCCCUGAGCGGGCUGGCAAGGCGCAU